rnacentral:rRNA from 1 species
UACGUAGGCAGCAAGCGUUGUUCGGAGUUACUGGGCGUAAAGAGUGUGUAGGCGGUUCGCUAAGUUUGGUGUGAAAUCUCCCGGCUUAACUGGGAGGGUGCGCCGAAAACUGGUGGGCUAGAGUGUGGGAGAGGGAAGCGGAAGUUCCUGGUGUAGCGGUGAAAUGCGUAGAUAUCAGGAGGAACACCUGUGGUGUAGACGGCUUCCUGGACCACAACUGACGCUGAGACACGAAAGCGUGGGGAGCAAACAGG